rnacentral:rRNA from 1 species
GCUGGCGGCGGGCUUAACACAUGCAAGUCGAACGAGUAAAGGUUCUUGGGAACUGAGUAAAGUGGCGCACGGGUGAGUAACGCGUAGGCAACCUGCCCCUAGAUUUGGAAUAACUCCGGGAAACCGAAGCUAAUACCGAAUAACGUCUCUUGAUCGCAUGAUCAGGAGACCAAAACUCCGGUGUCUAGGGAUGGGCCUGCGUAAGAUUAGGUAGUUGGUGAGGUAACGGCUCACCAAGCCGACGAUCUUUAGCUGGUCUGAGAGGAUGAUCAGCCACACUGGCACUGAGACACGGGCCAGACUCCUACGGGAGGCAGCAGUGAGGAAUAUUGCGCAAUGGGGGAAACCCUGACGCAGCCACGCCGCGUGGUGGAUGACACCCCUAUGGGGCGUAAACACCUUUUAUGAGAGAAGAAGUCCCUACUCGGUAGGGUUUGACGGUACCUCAUGAAUAAGCACCGGCUAACUCCGUGCCAGCAGCCGCGGUAAUACGGAGGGUGCAAGCGUUGUCCGGAAUCACUGGGUGUAAAGGGUGUGUAGGCGGAGCUGUAAGUCAGAGGUGAAAUCCUACGGCUCAACCGUAGAACUGCCUUUGAUACUGCAGCCCUUGAGUAUCGGAGAGGUUGCUGGAAUUCGUGGUGUAGCGGUGAAAUGCGUAGAUAUCACG